rnacentral:rRNA from 1 species
GGCGAUCCCGUGUGGGUGGGUCGUCGCUCAACGGAUAAAAGGUACCCCGGGGAUAACAGGCUGAUCUUCCCCAAGAGUCCAUAUCGACGGGAUGGUUUGGCACCUCGAUGUCGGCUCGUCGCAUCCUGGGGCUGGAGUAGGUCCCAAGGGUUGGGCUGUUCGCCCAUUAAAGCGGUACGCGAGCUGGGUUUAGAACGUCGUGAGACAGUUCGGUCCCUAUCUGCCGUGGACGUUUGAGAUUUGAGAGGGGCUGCUCCUAGUACGAGAGGACCGGAGUGGACGAACCUCUGGUGUUCCGGUUGUCACGCCAGUGGCAUUGCCGGGUAGCUAUGUUCGGAAGAGAUAACCGCUGAAAGCAUCUAAGC